GGAAGGACGAAAUGAGGCCCACAAACUGUGUCUGGGGACCUGUGGGGUGGUCUUCAUGAAACGCCCACCAUGAAAGGCUUUCAGCUCCAAGAAAGGCACUGGCACUCACACUUGGGGGGCUGAUGAUUGCCACUGUCCAGGAGGCUAAAGGAAGAAAGGCAACCACAUCUCUUAUGAACAGGACAUACAUUUCCAAGACAAUGGGUCCAGAUCAGAAGUGCAGGCUGUGCCCCCAGAACACAUAGAAGUUGCAUACAAACGCAGAAUUAGACCACAUUUAAAACGUGGUAGAACUUGGCUGAUUUGCUCCUUCUUGGCCAUCCAUUUGAAGUGUGCAGUGAGGACCCCAAGUCCUGAUCUCAUCAUUCAAGAGAUGUUAAAAUGCCUGUGGUGAAUCUGACUUUAAUUUACCACGACUGCUAAAACAGAGGCUUUGGAAACGAAAGCAGUAGCAAGUCUCCUGUGUGAGGCCAGAGCUCUUGAGGGGCAUUUAGCAGCAGCAGAUUUUACGUGUAUGAAUCAAUUAAUGUGUCUUAAAUAUUUCUAGCAACCUUCCAGGUUCCCAGUUCAUGGCUCAGCAGGAGAAAGGCAAGGGGCUCGUUCAUUCAUUCAUUCACUAUAAAAGGAUUAAAACAGACCUCGGUUUUUCUGGCUUCAACCCUUGACCUCCCCUUCCGUGAACCCUGACUAACAGACAACCCACAUGCUUAUGAAAACAGCUCUUGAAAGAACAGUUCUGACAGUUACUGGAAUGAGUUUGCUCCAGUGCUCCCAAGCAGAAGGCAUAAAAAACCCAGAGCAAUCUCCAGCUGUUCCAAAGGCAGACUGUACAGCAGUUAGAGAUACAGAAAAUUGCAACCUCCACCAGACCACAAGGACAGGCCCCCACUCUUCUCAAUCUUUGAGAACCCCAAUACCGCUUCAUCUUGGGGAGUUUCUAGGUCUUCAGAUCUAGAUUCCCAUCAGUUGAAUGAAGCCUUUAACCUGUGUUUGGAUCACUUGAGCUAUUGAUUUUUCCCUGACACAUCCACAAAACCAUGGGCUGCCUGCUUUUGGUUGGGACAGCGGUUUUAUGUAGGGGAGCCAUAAACAUAAUGAUUGAAGUAGAAUUCUAAGUUUCUAGACCCACUGCCCAUUCCCCAAAUAUUGUUUAUGACCAUAAUCCUCUCUCUGACUUCCUAUUUUCAUUCUAAAUUGGAAUAAAUGACUUGGUCUUUACCAAACACUGCAUGUUUCAGAAAGGACUUCCAAAAGGACUUUCCAGAAAGUACCAGACUCUUAGGAAUCGCAUGAGGUGGGAGAUUAAAAAUACAUUCUUAAUUUAUUUGAUAGGAGCAAUGGGAGGUCAAAUAGCUUACUGAUUUCUCUAAUUAUAUGUCUAAAUCACCAACUCAUUGUGUUUGCUAAGAAUUACUAAACCAAUAAAUGAAGUACUA
rnacentral:lncRNA from 1 species